AGGGUUUGAUUCUGGCUCAGGAUGAACGCUGGCGGCGUGCCUAACACAUGCAAGUCGAACGAAGCGACUGGAGGAAGUUUUCGGAUGGAAUCCGGUUGACUGAGUGGCGGACGGGUGAGUAACGCGUGGAUAACCUGCCUCACACUGGGGGAUAACAGUUAGAAAUGGCUGCUAAUACCGCAUAAGCGCACAGUACCGCAUGGUACGGUGUGAAAAACCCAGGUGGUGUGAGAUGGAUCCGCGUCUGAUUAGCCAGUUGGCGGGGUAACGGCCCACCAAAGCGACGAUCAGUAGCCGACCUGAGAGGGUGACCGGCCACAUUGGGACUGAGACACGGCCCAA
rnacentral:rRNA from 1 species